AUGUGCACAAUCCGCGUGUUUCCAUAUGAAAAAAAAGGCGCCUUUCUCAGCUGGAGCCGUGCCGCCCAUAGAGACAAGUGCACACUUCUGCAGACUUGGGGAUCAGUUCUAUAAAGAGGCUAUCGAGCACUGUCGCAACUACAACGCAAGGCUAUGCGCAGAACGCAGCGUUCGCCUCCCCUUUCUCGAUUCUCAGACUGGUGUAGCCCAGAACAACUGCUACAUCUGGAUGGAGAAAAGGCACAGAGGACCAGGUGUUGCUCCAGGACAGUUGUACACGUAUCCUGCUCGAUGUUGGAGAAAAAAGAGACGUUUGCAUCACCCUGAGGACCCGAGGUUAAGACUGUUGGAGAUAAAAGCAGAUGUAGACUUCCCAUUACGGAAAGACAAUGUUGUGUCAGAGGGUACUACACUAGAAGCCCUUUUACGAGGUGAAGGACUAGAGAAGAAAGAUGCCAGAGACGAGGACAGUCUACAAGAAAUUCAGAGGGUUUUAGAAAAUGAUGAAAAUGCAGAUGAUGCAAAUGGUGAUGACGACUUUGAAGAGGAACUUCCAAAAAGAAAGAACCGGAGCAGGGGACGGGCUCGUGGAGGCAGAAGAAGGAACGAUACCUCUUAUGACGAGCAUGACAAACCUUACGUAUGUGACAAUAGUUGCAAACAAAAGCAUAACCCAAAAACUGCUGAAAAAGUUUGUGGAAAACGUUACAAGAACAGACCUGGCCUCAGCUACCACUAUACCCACACUCAUCUCGCUGAUGAAGAAGGGGCAGACAGCAGAGACCAAGAAUCUCGAUCUCCAUGUUCCCCUUCCGUUCACAGAAGUGAAAACCAGAAACCUCGCAAAGGAACAGACGGUGCUAUACUUUCCAAUAACUACUGUGAUUUUUGCCUUGGAGAUUCAACCAUAAACAAGAAAAGUGGACAACCAGAAGAACUUGUAUCCUGUGCAGACUGUGGACGCUCUGCUCAAUUGGGAAGAGAAAGCAGAAAAGAGGAGAUGCACAACGCAGAGGACUUGUUCGGAUCCACGUCAGAAAGCGACACUUCCACGUUUCAUGGCUUUGAUGAGGAUGACUGGGAGGGGACUUCCUCAGCCCAAGCCACUCACUCCCCUACUGCAGAGGAAUGGGGAGACUGCUAAAGCAAAUGAUCUGGAUCAUCCACAUCUUCUACCUGACACUUCUGAUCCCUACCUUCAUUUUUGUGUUUCCUUUUGAAUUUUCACUUCGUCUUUUAAUUUCUAAUCCAUUUACAAAGCACAACUGUAUCCAAACUGGACUGAGAAGUAAUCAGAAUAUUUUGCAAGUUCUUUUAAUGUGAAAACCGUGGAUAUUCAUAUAUAUAUAUUUUUCUUUUGGUAUGAGCAGAGCUCAUCUCUCCAGUAUUAGCCAGCAUCCCAGAGCUGGUUUAAAGGCCACUUUGGAUUGAUGAAAGAAUGCCUUUAAUAUUGAUAGUCACAAUAAAAACAGGUGUCAGGAAAACACUGGAAUUCUGUCUAUGACCCUGAUUACCUCAGUUACAGAAGACUUUUGUAACCUGAUGGGUUUAUUGGAUUUUGCACACACAGUGAGGAAUCAACCUAAGUUUUAAUGCAAACACUGCUGUACAAGGAGCAAGUUUCUCCUUAUUUUCCUCCACUUGAACUUCUGCAUAAGGUCAGAAGGUCUUUAGAUGUAGAAAAAGUAUAAAGGCAAAUGGGAUAAAUACCUCAGACUUGCUUUUCCCCUUGCAAUGAUUUAUUUGUACUAUUUAUUUUUCUUUGGCUCAAAAGACUCCCUGAUGUCUAAAAGGCACCUUUUUGUCUCCUUAUUCAAUACCACCUACUAGAAGAUACCAAAGCAACACCCAUUAUUGGUCCACAGGGCAAUGGAAAUGAGACCAAACUAUCACACCUGCUGAGCUGAAUUCAGACUGCACUGCAGCAGGAUUGAAAAGGUCACCAUGCCCUACGAUGAUCAUCUACUUCCAACAAGAAAGCAAUCUGAGUCGGUAUUGAUGGCGAUAACAUUGACUUCAUUUAACAAUACUCUGCACUUGGAGCCCAACCCCUUGCUUGUGCAAUAUGAGGAAAAAAUACUGGCUUUUGCUGAAGAUGUUUAGGGGUUUUGAUUUUAUAUAUAUUUUUUUAGCUUAGAUGCUGUGUUUGACACCCAGCUAGUUUCAUGUAAAUUCAACAAAAGACAAAAAAAUGUUGCUCCUUAUUUAUUUCAAUAUUUAAACAAAAGAAAAGAGAUAUCCCAGGGCUGACGUUACACAGUAUUUUUGUUUUCAUACAUUUUAUGUGGAAAAGGAGGAUCACACUGAAAUGAAUGAAAGCACAAAGUGCAAAGAGGUGCUGGUGAUUUCCUUUUUUAUUAACAUUUUGUGUCCUGUACACAUGUAAAGCAGUUUUGUGCUGUAGGCUUUUUUCCCCUUGUAGUUUUUUUUAUGAAUUUUUUAAAUGUUGUUGUGGAAUUAUUGGUGUCUAUACGUGGAUAAGAAAUUGCCAUUUGCAUCAUGUUGGUUUGUGUGUAUGUCACCCCUACUGAAAUGUAUAACAUGCUGUCAAUCACUGGACGGUAGCGAUAAAAUGAAUAUAAGCUGUUCCUUAAAUUACUGUGACAUGUUGUUCUGCUGCUGAAUCAAUACCGGUACAGGCAAUACUGGUGGAGCUGAACUUUUCCCACAAUUAUUUACAUUAUUGUGUUAUUUUCUUUUUAUUUCUUGUUAACCGUGGGAUGCUAGCUGUCCUUCAGUUUCCGUUCUACCUACCCAAUAGAAAUCUAUGGCAAAACUGAGCUUAAAGUUGGGUAAAAUUUAGACAUAAAAAUAUAUAUAUAUAUAUUUUUUGCACAUUAAGUUGAAUUGAGACAUCAGACAUUGUGCCAGUAAAAGGUGCUCUUGGGUUGGGUAUAAACACCUCUGCAACUCUUUAGAUAAUCCAUUUCUGCUUCUCUAAAAAACAAACAAAUGCAGGUGAAGCUGAUGCAAUGCUAAAUUGAUAUGUUGUUCCUAAAAAAUAUUGCAGACUUUAUCAAAAAUAUUCAUGUUUUAUAAAUGUUUGUAUGUAAAGUAUGUCACUUUACUCUGGCAGAAAUAAAUGUAAGAAUCUAUCAGACAGCAAAAAAAUCUUCUGCCACAAAAAAAAUGCAAUACAAAAAAAACUGCACAUGUAAGUAAGCUCUUAGGCUGCCUUCGUAUGUGCAGUUUGUUAAGCCAAAGCCAAGAGUGAAUCCAAAAGAAAGGAAAGGUAGAGUGAAAAGAAUAACACACAUCUCAUCCUGUUUCACUAGCCUUACAUUAAAGGAAAACUGUCACCCUGAUCACCCACACUAAACCCAAUACACUGGGUUAUAGUGUGGGUGACCAGGAAUCCAAUGAGGGGUCACUUACUAUAAUC